AGAUUGGGCAAUUGUCGUUGUUUAUUUACAGAUUUAGUGAGAUUUGUUUGAUUUGAAAUGGUUACAAGUUUGAUUUGUAGUUACCAUCUUGUUUUUGUAAUGGUUUCCAUGGAAUGGGAUUUGUAUUCUUUUUUAUGUUUAUAUCCACUGAAUUGCUUGGAUUUGUUGAUUUGUGUGAUAUUUUGUAUUUUAUUUUGUUUCGGAAAAUGAUUGUGGAUUUUUGUACUUUUCAUUUUUGUAUGCAGUAGGAUUUUUACUUGCUUAGAAUUUUGUUGGUUUACUAUUUUCAAUUCCUCAUUUCUUUGACUCAUGAAGAGAUUUUGGACUUUCCCGGUCUCUUUUAUAGAAUUUUGGUGGAACGCGCUCUGUUCUGGCUGUUUAUUUCACUAUUCAUUGGUUUGUGCUUCAAUCAGGUUUUAGAGAUAUAAUAUCCUAUGUGGGUUUGCUUUCUAUUCUUGUUAAUUUUUUUCUUUUUCUUUUUUUGGGCCUUUAAGCAGCUGCUAGUAAUUAUUGCCAAUGGAUGAUUGUUGGCCUUUGAAUAUUUGAAAUUUCAUUUAUUCCCUAACAUCUGCUAACGAAUUGAUAUUUUUCGACAUCUAACAUUGCAAUUUAUGGGUCUAAUUCUUGUAUCCGUAGAUGAUCAGGAUUAGGACAAGUU
rnacentral:misc_RNA from 1 species